GUGGCCUGCCCGACUCUCACACUAACCCUUACCACAUCCCGAAGGGCCCCCGACACCUUGUCAACUUUCUGCCACACUGAAACCUAAGGUUUCCUGUGCUAAAGAUUUUACAGGAUGCUGGAAUUCAAUGGCAAAGAGAUCAAAAUGAGGUGUUCCCAUUUUCCCAGGGCCAGCUACAGAGGGAAGAAGGAAUGGAGAAAUGUUUGUGAAGUCCCUGGGCAUUGCAGGUGCUCAUUAAUGCUCAUGAGCUCCCCCCCCCAACUAAGGAUAUGAUCAUUUGUUAAUACUACUAUCUGUAAAA